rnacentral:snRNA from 1 species
ACUGAUUCAUUUUUUUUU